AGCAAAUGAAAGAGUGAGAGAAAAAUCAUCAUCCGUCACAUCUGGUUUACAUUAAGUCGGAGGGCCAUGCCUGAUGGCUCCUGCUGCUGGAGUGUCUGAGGCUUUGACGGUGGCUCUGUGUCGUGUGGCGUUGGCGUCCGCCCUGUGCCAGGCGGCGUGUGUGGUCAACAGGCGACUGGCAAGCUGUAGGGGACUGCGGGUCAAGGCAGAAGCCCCUUUGGUUCAAUGUUCGUCUUUCUCUUCGAUCAACCCACUGCGGAAGCAAAUGGUCUGUCUUCCUGUUGCUGAGGAGGAAUGGAGCAGAGAAGAUUUUUCAUUCAUAUGGCUUCAACUUGAGUGUGUGUACAUGAUGA